rnacentral:rRNA from 1 species
GAUGAACGCUAGCUACAGGCUUAACACAUGCAAGUCGUGGGGCAGCGGAUGCUUAGCUUGCUAAGUAUGCCGGCGACCGGCGCACGGGUGAGUAACGCGUACCGAACCUGCCCAUCACACAGGGAUAGGCUUGCGAAAGCAAGAUUAAUACCUGAUGGUCUCAGUUGUAUGCAUGUAUGAUUGAGUAAAGCCUUCGGGCGGUGAUGGAUGGCGGUGCGUCCCAUUAGGAAGUUGGCGGGGUAACGGCCCACCAAUCCUUCGAUGGGUAGGGGUUCUGAGAGGAAGGUCCCCCACAUUGGAACUGAGAUACGGUCCAAACUCCUACGGGAGGCAGCAGUGAGGAAUAUUGGUCAAUGGGCGAGAGCCUGAACCAGCCAAGUAGCGUGCGGGAUGAAGGCCCUUGUGGUCGUAAACCGCUUUUAUCAGUGAAUAAAGUGCACCACGUGUGGUGUCAUUGCAGGUAGCUGAAGAAAAAGGACCGGCUAAUUCCGUGCCAGCAGCCGCGGUAAUACGGAAGGUCCGGGCGUUAUCCGGAAUUAUUGGGUUUAAAGGGAGCGCAGGCGGGAGUAUAAGUCAGCUGUUAAAUAUCAGGGCCCAACUCUGUUAUGCAGUUGAAACUAUAUUUCUUGAGUACGCACAGGGAUGGCGGAAUUCAGGGUGUAGCGGUGAAAUGCUUAGAUAUCCUGAAGAACUCCGAUCGCGAAGGCAGCCAUCCGGAGCGUAACUGACGCUGAGGCUCGAAGGUGCGGGUAUCGAACAGG